rfam:Trichobilharzia regenti genome assembly, scaffold: TRE_scaffold0042116
GUACUCCUGAAGAGUCCCAAACUAGGGCGAAACAGCUUUCCAGUAC